CUUUCUUAACAACCCCGAACCCACCACCGCCACCCAUCUUAUUCUCCAUUGACUCCCUUCUCCUUCUAGGGUUUUUCAUUUUCUUCUCCAACUCGUACUUGAUUUUCUCUUGCACAUACUUUGGCACCCCAUCUUGUUUAGAGUACUCCACACAUUCAUUUACGCAUAUAAAUAGGUAAGGAAUUUUAUUAUUUGAAUUGUUUAAUUCCUUCUUUUUAUUUUAUUUUAUUUUUUGUUCAGUUGCUUUAUGAAAUAGAACAUUCCCAAUGUAGUUUUAAAUGUUUUAGUUUCGUUUCUGCAUGGUUUAUUUAUAUGCAAUUUAAUCUUAAUUGUGGAAGCAUGUUGAGAAAAAACAGAGCUUGGUUAAAAAAUUCCUAAAUAACUUGAAUGUCAUCUGUAAUUUCUUGAAUAAAAAAAAGGAUGUCUGGUUUAGAGGGCUUCUCCUUGAACAGUAAAAAUUAUUCCAUGUUUUUUUCAUUAUUUCAUUUUUGUUUGCUUCAAACUGGGAUAUCUGCACAAAAUUAGUUCAAUUGUUAAUAGCAAAUGUACACUUUUUUCUUCAACUAAACACAUGAUGCAGUGACUUGAUUUCUCAAAAAAUAAAGAAAAAUUGGUGUUUUAGGACGAAUAAAGCAUGUAUAUAUAGGCCUAUACAUUCGAAAUCAACGUGUGAGACAUAUCUAAUCCAAGGACCAGAUUUGAACCUAUAGAGUACACUUUUUUUUCUUGAAGCAAUGGUUACACUUCCACCAUCUCAUAUACAUCAUUCAACCAUAGAAUGCCCCCAGGGCACAUCUCCAAGUGGUAAAAGGGGAGGGUGGAGAAAUCCAACUUUGCGUGAGGCUGCUGCGUCAAGAGUUCGAAUCCUGAAAUAUGGAUUUGGCUCUUGGGUAAGUGCAAGUGUACAAGCAGUCUUCCACCCUUGGAGGCAUAACCUGCGAUUUACCUCCCUCACGAUGCUCCAGGGCAGGGGUGGUGGGGGACCCUUAAGGUUAGGGUUUAACCUUUUUUUUUUAACCAUAGAAUAUUGUGCACAGUUUUCUAGGCCUUCUAAUUAAAAGUUUCGAGUCUUAUAACAUUCUAGAACUGAAACAACAAGGCUAUUCAUGAUUGGUUAGGGAAAUUCUUGAUCCCGCAUAAAGCAGGAAAUCCUGACCCAAAUGGUAAGCGGGGCUAGGACGGCAUGGGAGUCUAGUUCCCCAAAUCUUUUUAAUGUGCUUUAUUUUUGUAUUUUCAAAUUUAAUUGUAUUUGAAAAUUGAAAAAUAUUGCCCCUAUCUGUUCCCAACCUGCUUUUUGAAAAAUUUCCGAUUGAGCAAGGAUAUGAUAAUGGGGCUUAGACUCAGUGAAAAUUUACUAGAUGCAUAAACUUUCACAAUCUAGUCAUCUUCUCAUCUAUACAAAAGCCAUGGAAACGAAAUUUAACUGGUCUUUUCUGUAACUUUUUAAGGUACAAAAAAGGACUAAAUAGAGGUUAGACCUUCCUAAAAUCAAUUUGACCAAAUAAACAAGUGGAAAGAAUGUUCUCUUUUUUAUUUUAUUAUUAUUAUUUUUUUUUAUAAUUCUGGUAUCCAAAUUUCGCAUGAUUAAUCCUGAGGAGUGGCAGCCUGCCCCCCAGUUCGUCACCCGGGUAAAUCCGGAUGCAGACACAGCUUAUACACACUUGGACCGGACAUUCGGGAUGCGGUUGACCUCUCUUUAUGACUUGCGGACAGGACCUCGGAGGGCCGACAAAGCGUACAAUAAUUUUGUCUCCACAGGACAACUGUCUUCCAACAUAAAUGCUACCUUCCAGCUGUCGUGGGGAUUCGAACUUCCGAUACUCCGUGUGGAACUCUCCUGCUUUACAAAUGGAAAGAAUGUUCACUAAUAGGUAAGGUGGUCAAUGGUUAGAGACGGGAGGAUUAAUCCAUUUGGUUGAAAUAAUAGAUGACACGUUUAUUAGAAAAACUAUUAGUACUGUACGAUAGUAAAUAAUAGAAGAAAUGAACUUUUUUUUUAUUAUUUUAUCACAUAAUUAUGUUAAAAGAUGCUUUAAACUUGAUAAAAUCCUACGGUUUCACUCUAUGUAUAAUAACCUACGAGUAAAUUUAACCAAUAAUCACUGAACUUUACACUUGAUUACUACUUGCUCAUUCAUCUUUCACAUAUUACUGAAUGCUCACUCAUCUUUUCAUAUAAUUACUCAUUCAUCACUCGUCUCUUCAAAUAAUUGGGCGACUUUUACGGCAAAUUUUCGACAACUUCCGUACACAAAGAAUGUCGAAUUUUGAUACCGUUGGAAAGCCCACGAUGUCCUCUUCAAUUACCACCCAAAAUCUCAGUAUAACUCCAAGGGAUUCGAUCGAAAAAUUGCCUUAAAAGUCGCCCAAAAAUUUUGAAAAUCUGCCAAGAUUUUCAGAUUUUUUGGGCGACUUUUAAGGCAAUUUUUCGGCAACUUUCGACCAUCAAAACUAUCUAAUUUUGAUACCAUUGGAAAGCCCACAAUGUCCUCUUCAAUUACCACCCAAAAUUUCCCGAUAACUCCAAAGGAUUCGGUCGGAAUAAACUCACAAAGUCAACAUCCCGAACUUUGUCCAGAUUUUCGCAUUUUCAAGAUGCUGAUUUUGUGGGUUUAUUCGGACCGAAUCCUUUGGAGUUAUCGGGAAAUUUUGGGUGGUAAUUGAAGAGGACAUUGUGGGCUUUCCAAUGGUAUCAAAAUUAGAUAGUUUUGAUGAUCGAAAAUUGCUUUAAAAGUCGCCCAAAAAUUUUGAAAAUCUUGGCAGAUUUUCAAAAUUUUUGGGCGACUUUUAAGGCAAUUUUUCGAUCGAAUCCCUUGGAGUUAUAAUGAGAUUUUGGGUGGUAAUUGAAGAGGACAUCGUGGGCUUUCCAACGGUAUCAAAAUUCGACAUUCUUUGUGGUCGGAAGUUGUCGAAAAUUUGCCGUAAAAGUCGCCCAAUUAUUUGAAGAGACGGGUGAUGAAUGAGUAAUUAUAUGAAAAGAUAAGUGAGCAUUCAGUAAUAUGUGAAAGAUGAGUGAGCAAGUAGUAAUCAAAUGUAAAGUUCAGUGAUUAUUGGUUAAAUUUACUCAAUAACCUACAUCAAAAGUUCUUCCAUUCUUCCCUUAUAUGGCAUUUUAGGUAAUACAAAUUCAACAAUCUAUACAAUGCUAAGAAAGGAGGAAAAAAAGUUAAGAUCUUGUAUAUUGUAUUAUCCAAUAAAGUUUAAUAUUAAAUACCAAACAUGGGGAUCUCGAAGCAACAAACUGUUAAACAAAAAUAGUGAGAUUAAAAGAAGAAAAACUCAUUAGAGUAAUAGAUUAUUAGAAAUAUUAUUAUUCAAAAAGAGGAAAAUGGAAAUAUUUACAAGUUCAGCAGCAUCAGAAUUAUCGUCUUUAAAUUUUCCUUAAAAAAAAAAAAAAAUUGGUUAUGUAUCAAGAGGUAGUAUGAGAUAAAGAGUAUUUUUUUCUUCCCAAUAGAUCAAAAUAUAUGCAUGAAUUGAUCAACUGCCCAAAUGAGAAUUCUUGAAUAUCCCAUUCCCCAACAAAUAAAAAACUACUCUCGUAGUAGUUACAAAUUCUUGUUGAGCACGUAUAUCAAGUUUCCAAAUCCCACCUGAUGCAUAACUUAUACUGUUGUACCUUUUAAACUAACUCGAUUGUUCUGUUUAUAAUCUAUUUAAAUUAUAAAUAUAUAGAAAUAAAAUAAUAAAUAAGUAUAUAAUAGUUGUAGGUUCCACAAAAUAUGUGAAUGAAAGUGAUUCGCUCAAUAAUAAAUAAAUUAUGAACAGCUGCCAAACGUGCAAUAAUUUACAUCCAUCUACUCGACUAUAAGUUUUGUGUAGUCUUUGAACAAAGGUCCAAUAAACUAAGCAAUUUCUUUUAAAUGAAACUAAAUGAUCACACAAGUGAUUAUCAUAAAUGUGUUGGAUUAUGCUACCAAAACUUUUUAGGGCUAUAUUGGACAUUCAUACUUCUCUUUUAGGUCAUCCUAGUCUCUACAUUAUACGAGGAUACGAGGAAGGGUCAUUUUCCAGUGUACAUGAAAGAUAGAGGUGUGAAAUCUCCCAUUGUGAAACAUUUUGCAUAGAGAGUUGAUAUGGCUCUAUACACUGAGGGUGAUCGAACCACAAAAUGUUACAUUUCGUAGGCUUUGCAACUGCCUCCAGCAUUUAAAAUUUGAGUAUAAAGGCAAGAUAGUUGAAAAAUGAACCAAACUCUAAUUCAUGGGAGAAGUAAAUAAACGAAUCUAAGAAAAGAAUAUCUGUUUUCUCUUAUGUAUGCUCAUCACAUUCAAGUCCUUCCGCUGCUUUUGGCAUAAGCUCUUUUGUGUAAAUGUAGUGUCGUCUCUCCCUUCCAUUUACCACGAAUAAAAGUAGAGAAUUUGUUGAUAACAAUAAAUGACAUGACACUUUUCGAUCAAAUUAUGAGAAUUUAGACAGAAUAAUAUAUUAUAUAACUGAAAAUUUGAAUAAAAUUGUAAAAUCCCGAAUUUUUAACUUAAAUUCGAAUAUAUUUUUAUUUGUCAUUUAAUAGGAAUGCAAUGUUUGGUUAAGUUCUUAUGCAAGUUAAUUGAUUAUCUCUAUAGUUAUCUUAUUAGUUGAGCGACCAAAUUGAAAAAAAAAAAAAUAUCAAAUUAUUUUAUACUUUAUUAAAUGGGCCAAAUAGUUAACUAUUGAAGGAGUUAGAAUUACUCUACCAAUAUUGGGUUCAUUUUGAAGUUCAUAAUAAAUGGCGAAUUAUGGACUCAAGAAAAAUUUAAUUUGGUCAAGUUAAACCCGAGUUUUAGCCGUCUAAAGAAUAUUGUUGUUAUAAGAGUUUUAAAGGAUUAGAUUUUUCGCCAGUUGACUGCCAUCACUAGUUUAGCUAAGUAAAUUAGAAUUUUAAGUUUUGGUUAAACAAAGUCUUUAUAUUAAGUAUUAAUAAUUAUACAUUUUUAAUUAAGAGGUAAUCAAUUAAAACGUAAUUCCUGCUUACAAAUUUAGUUAAAUGCACAUCAAAGGAAUUUGAAUUAUUUGAUGUUAGACUUUAGUACAUGAGUAACCCAUGCAUUUCAUUACAACUUUCACGUGUCCAUAUAAUUAGUAAUCAUUGUGUCCCCUAAUUGGAACAAAUUUUGGGAAGAUUGGACUGAAAUUCUAAUUUAAUUAAUAAGCAUACAUUUUAUAAUUUUCGGCCAUUAGGAGAUUGACAAUUUAAGAUGUUUGUAUUAGAAUAAAUUAUGCAAAUAGGAGGUAGAAUUGUUUUCCCCGUCCACGUGUAAAAGUCAUGCAGUGUAAUACCUAUCAUUUCCUUGUUGUAAUUGUAAUUGAUAUAGAAAUUGGCAGAAAAUCAAUAAUUAAUCUCCAGUCAUACUAUAUCAAUUGGGAAUUAUAAAUCAAUUUCUCAGAAGAUUGCAUGAAAUACGAAUUUAAAUAUGGCUGAAAUUCCACUUCCCCCACGUGAUUACCCGACUUCAACAGUAUAAAUAGAGGACUAAAACCACAUUCUACUACACGUCCAUUACCUCUCCCUCUUUAAAAUAUUCCUCUACAUUACUUAGAUUUUUUAAGGCUUUGGAAUUGCAAUCACAUUUCUGCAAUUUUAUUCUCCACUUUCAUCUUCAAAAGGUGAGAUACUCAGUGCUAUUAGUGGUUUUUCCAAAUCUUUUCAAAUACGUUAUUAUGAAUUUAAUUACUUCAAUUCAGGCUCCUUCGGGAGAAAUCAUGAUACAUUUUAAGGCACAAUUUAGCCUUCACGUUAUUUUGCAGCACUUGCUAGAAUUAUCAUUUGUCAUGGUGUGAUAAUUCUCAUAUUAUGUUGGUAAGAUAAUUUAUUUGUAAUUUCAUGUUUGACUUGAAUAUGGAGUAGCAAGUAUCUCAUUGAGUAUAAUUCGUUAUACUCAUCCCCUUAUUUACAAUUUUCAGGUAAUAAUUAGUAUGCUGGACGGCGGUGGAUAGAUUUGCUAUUGGACCAACGGAUCCUCGUCAUGAAGUAUUUUAAUUUUCAAAAACACUAGAACUAAUAAUGGGUUAUUCAUUUUUGACCCAAUUGUGAGUGCAUUAUAAAUUUUCAAUUAGUUUUAACUGUUCUAAUAAUUUUUGGAUGAAUGAUAUGUUUUCAAACGUUCCGC
rnacentral:lncRNA from 1 species